GGUUCCCGGUUGAUGUUGGUCAAGCAAGAUGCGACACUGUGGUCAACGCACCGGGUUCCCGUCGCAUCUUCUCCCACAGAUGCAGAAAGAUGAUGAUGACGCGAUGUAAAACAACUGACUUUUCGAAUUUACUCAAGAAAAUAGAAAAUAUGAUAAUUCAAGAUAAGAAACUAAGACGGGAUGAAGAACUGAUAAUUGCUAAACCAGAGUUUGACAGGAACCAGCUGCAAUGUGAUAUAGGAAGUCAUCUCCACAAUGAAAAGGGAAUCGACCGCUCUUCAAAGAUGUCAUUCAGCUUAUAACAACAAAGAGAAGAGAUGAUCAUCUAAAGGAUGAUCCUGUAUUUGAUUUCCGAUUCUAUUUCUCGGGUAUAAUUUGGGAUUAACAUAUUUGAUUUCUUUUCGAUCUCUAAUUCAAACCUACACUCACAUCUUGGACUCCUCUUUUAAGAGGAGUCCAACAAAUCUACGAAAGAUUUUGACAG
rnacentral:lncRNA from 1 species